UGCCUGAACUCCGGAUUGAACGAAGGACCUUCUCAUUACGAAUGAGAUGCUCUACCACUAAGCUAUACAGGC